GACGAACGCUGGCGGCGUGCUUAACACAUGCAAGUCGAACGGAAAGGCCCUGCUUUUGUGGGGUGCUCGAGUGGCGAACGGGUGAGUAACACGUGAGUAACCUGCCCUUGACUUUGGGAUAACUUCAGGAAACUGGGGCUAAUACCGGAUAGGAGCUCCUGCUGCAUGGUGGGGGUUGGAAAGUUUCGGCGGUUGGGGAUGGACUCGCAGCUUAUCAGCUUGUUGGUGGGGUAGUGGCUUACCAAGGCUUUGACGGGUAGCCGGCCUGAGAGGGUGACCGGCCACAUUGGGACUGAGAUACGCACCAGACUCCUACGGGAGGCAGCAGUGGGGAAUAUGGCAGAAUGGGCGGAAGCCUGAGGCAGCAACGCCGCGUGCGGGAUGACGGCCUUCGGGUUGUAAACCGCUUUCGCCGGUGACGAAGCGUGAGUGACGGUAAUGGGUAAAGAAGCACCGGCUAACUACGUG
rnacentral:rRNA from 1 species